GGAUGAACGCUGGCGGCGUGCUUAACCCAUGCAAGUCGAACGAUGAAGCCCAGCUUGCUGGGUGGAUUAGUGGCGAACGGGUGAGUAACACGUGAGUAACCUGCCCUUAACUCUGGGAUAAGCCUGGGAAACUGGGUCUAAUACCGGAUAGGAGCGUCCACCGCAUGGUGGGUGUUGGAAAGAUUUAUCGGUUUUGGAUGGACUCGCGGCCUAUCAGCUUGUUGGUGAGGUAAUGGCUCACCAAGGCGACGACGGGUAGCCGGCCUGAGAGGGUGACCGGCCACACUGGGACUGAGACACGGCCCAGACUCCUACGGGAGGCAGCAGUGGGGAAUAUUGCACAAUGGGCGCAAGCCUGAUGCAGCGACGCCGCGUGAGGGAUGACGGCCUUCGGGUUGUAAACCUCUUUCAGUAGGGAAGAAGCGAAAGUGACGGUACCUGCAGAAGAAGCACCGGCUAACUACGUG
rnacentral:rRNA from 1 species